AGACAUGGUCAAAGUACCAGCAACUCUAAUUGGGUAACAAUAAGUAACUUAAGAACUUAGUAAAAGAAUAAUCUAUGUUGGUUCAGUUUCUGCAUGCUUUAUAUAGAGAGAAAAAGCUUUCAGCUAUCAGUUGUAUCAAAGUUUUCAGAGAGAGAGAGAGCGACAGAGAUUCAGAGAAAGAGAUAGAACUCCUAAUUUGUACUUUUGACAAGCUUCUCAUCUAGAUUUUACAAGUUUGCUAUAUAAGGUGUAAUCUGCUUAAAGCCUCCAAUUGUAUUUUAUCUCAAUCUUGGUUCGUCUGGGAUGAUGAAAUAAAGCACCAUUUCACAUAAGCCAA